rnacentral:rRNA from 1 species
UUUAUGGAGAGUUUGAUCCUGGCUCAGGAUGAACGCUGGCGGCGUGCCUAAUACAUGCAAGUCGAGCGAACGGACGAGAAGCUUGCUUCUCUGAUGUUAGCGGCGGACGGGUGAGUAACACGUGGAUAACCUACCUAUAAGACUGGGAUAACUUCGGGAAACCGGAGCUAAUACCGGAUAAUAUUUUGAACCGCAUGGUUCAAAAGUGAAAGACGGUCUUGCUGUCACUUAUAGAUGGAUCCGCGCUGCAUUAGCUAGUUGGUAAGGUAACGGCUUACCAAGGCAACGAUGCAUAGCCGACCUGAGAGGGUGAUCGGCCACACUGGAACUGAGACACGGUCCAGACUCCUACGGGAGGCAGCAGUAGGGAAUCUUCCGCAAUGGGCGAAAGCCUGACGGAGCAACGCCGCGUGAGUGAUGAAGGUCUUCGGAUCGUAAAACUCUGUUAUUAGGGAAGAACAUAUGUGUAAGUAACUGUGCACAUCUUGACGGUACCUAAUCAGAAAGCCACGGCUAACUACGUGCCAGCAGCCGCGGUAAUACGUAGGUGGCAAGCGUUAUCCGGAAUUAUUGGGCGUAAAGCGCGCGUAGGCGGUUUUUUAAGUCUGAUGUGAAAGCCCACGGCUCAACCGUGGAGGGUCAUUGGAAACUGGAAAACUUGAGUGCAGAAGAGGAAAGUGGAAUUCCAUGUGUAGCGGUGAAAUGCGCAGAGAUAUGGAGGAACACCAGUGGCGAAGGCGACUUUCUGGUCUGUAACUGACGCUGAUGUGCGAAAGCGUGGGGAUCAAACAGGAUUAGAUACCCUGGUAGUCCACGCCGUAAACGAUGAGUGCUAAGUGUUAGGGGGUUUCCGCCCCUUAGUGCUGCAGCUAACGCAUUAAGCACUCCGCCUGGGGAGUACGACCGCAAGGUUGAAACUCAAAGGAAUUGACGGGGACCCGCACAAGCGGUGGAGCAUGUGGUUUAAUUCGAAGCAACGCGAAGAACCUUACCAAAUCUUGACAUCCUUUGACAACUCUAGAGAUAGAGCCUUCCCCUUCGGGGGACAAAGUGACAGGUGGUGCAUGGUUGUCGUCAGCUCGUGUCGUGAGAUGUUGGGUUAAGUCCCGCAACGAGCGCAACCCUUAAGCUUAGUUGCCAUCAUUAAGUUGGGCACUCUAAGUUGACUGCCGGUGACAAACCGGAGGAAGGUGGGGAUGACGUCAAAUCAUCAUGCCCCUUAUGAUUUGGGCUACACACGUGCUACAAUGGACAAUACAAAGGGCAGCGAAACCGCGAGGUCAAGCAAA